rnacentral:rRNA from 1 species
AUAUCAAUAAGCGGAGGAAAAGAAACUAACAAGGAUUCCCCUAGUAACGGCGAGUGAAGCGGGAUGAGCUCAAAUUUAAAAUCUGGCUGGUUUACUAGUCCGAAUUGUAGUUUAUAGAAGCGUUUUCGGUGGCAGCCUGGGUAUAAAUCCUUUGGAAUAGGGUAUCAUAGAGGGUGAGAAUCCCGUCUGUGACCGGUAGCUUGCCGCGUACGAUCUGUACUCCCCGAGUCGCGUUGUUUGGGAUUGCAGCGCUAAAUGGGUGGUAAAUUUCAUCUAAAGCUAAAUAUCGACGAGAGACCGAUAGCGCACAAGUA